GGGCGCAGCUGAUCAGCCAUGCCGCGUGGAUGAUGAAGGCCCUAGGGUUGUAAAAUCCUUUCGUUGGGGACGAUAAUGACGGUACCCGAAGAAGAAGCUCCGGCUAACUUCGUGCCAGCAGCCGCGGUAAUACGAAGGGGGUAGCGUUGUUCGGAUUUACUGGGCGUAAAGCGCGUUAGGCGGGCUGGAAAGUUGGGGGUGAAUCCCGAGG
rnacentral:rRNA from 1 species